ACCGACCGCAAGAUUCCCUGCAUUACGGGGAGCCCUAGGCAGGCACCUUUAACCUUGAGCCUGCUCGCUAGCGACCUCCAGAGGGCCAGGAUGGUUUGGGACCGGUGUGAUAGAGCACUUUAGUUUUAACGACUCUAUUUGCAUAACGGAGACCGCGCUUCCUCUCGCCGGUCUGCAGUGCUUUUCUUCCCUCCUUCCCGGUCUCCUGUACCCACAUCUCCGGUCCUUCUCUGCUUCCUAGAAGAUCCCUUCUUAAGGGGACUCACUCGGAGCUUGAGUCCCGGGCUCUUCUCCCUCCGCCCGGCGAGGUCCGGAGGCACCUGGGGGAGUGGAAUUGAGCACCAGACUGGGCUGGGGAGCCGCCCUGGCACUGCCCGACCCUAACAAAGGGAAUCGGGCUGCGCGCCGCGCGAGCGCUCGGUGGGCUGGCUCAGCGACCGCCGCCUUCUUCCAGAUUAAGAGCGCUGCAAGCAGGGGUAGAGCAGCUGUGCCGAGCUCCCGCAGCCAGCAGCUGACAGAGAAGCUAUCAGUGCCCUAGAAGUCAACUGAAAUGAACUGGCCCCCUUGAGCCUUCCCCAAAUACCUGGUACCCAGUUUCCAGCCGGAUGCUGAGGGACUUGAUUUUCCUUCUUGAUGCUGAUGCAGAUGGAGAAGGUCUUACCCUAAGGACUGAGGAAUCUUUGUGAGAUGGUUUUUGAUCAUCCUGAGAAAAAUGAGCCUUGGCCUCCAGACCUAGUAAAGUAAACCUCUUUCCCAUGGAGAACAGUGCUGGCUCCUGAGGACCUGGAAGGCCCACAGUCCCAGACGGAUUAGCCAGAAGCAGGCUUGGUUCCUGCUCUGAACAGCGGCUCUCCUGCCUGCACCAUUCAUUAUGAUUCAUACCAA